UACGUAGGGGGCAAGCGUUGUCCGGAAUCAUUGGGCGUAAAGAGCGUGUAGGCGGCUCGAUAAGUCCGCUGUGAAAGUCCAGGGCUCAACCCUGGAAGGCCGGUGGAAACUGUCGGGCUAGAGUCCGGAAGAGGCGAGUGGAAUUCCCGGUGUAGCGGUGAAAUGCGCAGAUAUCGGAAGGAACAUCAGUGGCGAAAGCGACUUCCUGGACCAAUACUGACGCUCAUGUGCGAAAGCGUGGGGAGCAAACAGG
rnacentral:rRNA from 1 species